GACGAACGCUGGCGGCGUGCUUAACACAUGCAAGUCGAACGGAAAGGCCCCUUUGGGGGUACUCGAGUGGCGAACGGGUGAGUAACACGUGAGUAACCUGCCCUUGACUUCGGGAUAACUUCAGGAAACUGGGGCUAAUACCGGAUAGGAAUCCUUGCUACAUGGUGGGGGUUGGAAAGCUUCGGCGGUUUUGGAUGGACUCGCGGCUUAUCAGCUUGUUGGUGGGGUAGUGGCUUACCAAGGCUUUGACGGGUAGCCGGCCUGAGAGGGCGACCGGCCACAUUGGGACUGAGAUACGGCCCAGACUCCUACGGGAGGCAGCAGUGGGGAAUAUUGCACAAUGGGCGGAAGCCUGAUGCAGCAACGCCGCGUGCGGGAUGACGGCCUUCGGGUUGUAAACCGCUUUCAGCAGGGGCGAAGCUUGUGGUGACGGUACCUGCAGAAGAAGCACCGGCUAACUACGUG
rnacentral:rRNA from 1 species